GGGUGCGAGGCCGGUCCUGCAGGCGGCAGCCAGAGCUGCGCGCCGCGGCGGCGGAAGAUGGCUGCGGCCGAGGUGGCGGACACUCAGCUGAUGCUUGGAGUCGGGCUGAUCGCUCUCACCAAGGACCGAGGGGCCGUGGGAAACGUCUGACGCCCACUUCACGGAGGAGCAAAUGGAGGCCCAGGCCGUCAUUGUGCACGGACACACCAUAGGCCGUACAGAGCCGGGAGUGGGACCCUCGCAGUGUAUCCCAGAGCCCCCAACCCCCACCAGUGGAGAGCUCCUGCAUCAUGUGAUCGAGCUUGUGCAUAAAUAAAGCAGGAGUUUCUACACAAUCCUGUGUGGUGGAAUCUCGGUUAGCUCUGAGGAAUGUAAUUAUCUUCCAUAAUUAAAAAAUAUCACACGGGGAUCUUUGGGCAGCCUCGUGCAGUAUUUAGGGGAUGGAACCCGUUGGUUCCCUUCGAAAAAGUUUUAUUUUCCCGAGAUUUUUGCACACCCCUAAACUCUUUCUAUUCCCCAAGUGCGCAAUAACAUUGCUUAGGCUUUAGCAAAACUGAAGAAAUAUGCUGAUUAUUUUUCAGUGCCUCAAAGCAGUGCGUUUAUGUGGGAAUCGCUUACUGUUUUUAUUUCUUUGUCUUUCUUCUUUUUUUUUUUUUUAGACGGGGUCUCCCUCUUAUCCAGGCUGGAGUGCAGUAGCGCAAUCAUCGCUCUCUGCAGCCUCCACCUCCCAGGCCCAAACCAUCCUCCCGCCUCGGCCUCCGAGUAGCUGGGACCUCAGGCGUGCACCACCACCCGAUUAAUUUUUGUAUUUUUUGUGGAGAUGGGAUACCGACAUGUUGUCCAGGUGGAUUACUGUAUUUAUUUCUAAUGUGAUUUUCAAACUGCUUCAAAACAAAACCUAAGUAACUUAGUUUCUCCAGAAGGUACUUUUGAACUAAGGCUAAGUUAAACUGUCUUUAUCUACUAAUAGCAAAUAAAAAGAUG
rnacentral:lncRNA from 10 species